rnacentral:tRNA from 1 species
GACUAAUAAAUUGUGCGGGCUUCAAACCCGGUAGGGGGUGUCAGACACUCUCUGGUCAGUUCGACUCUGGCUGCCUUCCGCCA